GACGAAACGUCCGAACGUUAUUCGGAAGCACUGGGCUUAAAGGGUGCGUAGGCGGCGCGGAAAGUUGGGUGUGAAAUCCCUCGGCUCAACCGAGGAACUGCGCCCAAAACUACCGUGCUCGAGGGAGAUAGAGGUGAGCGGAACUUACGGUGGAGCGGUGAAAUGCGUUGAUAUCCUAAGGAACACCGGUGGCGAAAGCGGCUCACUGGAUCUCUUCUGACGCUGUGGCAAGAAAGCUAGGGUAGCGAACGGG
rnacentral:rRNA from 1 species